GACGGAGGGUGCAAGCGUUGUUCGGAAUUACUGGGCGUAAAGCGUACGUAGGUGGCGGGUUAAGUCGAAUGUUAAAGCCUGAGGCUCAACCUCAGAGAUGCACUCGAUACUGGCCUGCUAGAGGGUGAUAGAGGAAAGCGGAAUUCCCAAUGUAGCGGUGAAAUGCGUAGAUAUUGGGAGGAACAUCAGUAGCGAAGGCGGCUUUCUGGGUCACACCUGACACUGAGGUACGAAAGCGUGGGGAGCAAACGGG
rnacentral:rRNA from 1 species